GGGGAAUGGCUGUGACAAUAAAUAAGAUUGGGAAAACAGUAAGAUACAGGGCCUGGCUCUGUUACCCAGGCUGGAGUGCUGUGAUAUAGCCUUGAACUCCCGGGCUCAAGCAAUCCUGCCACCUAAGCCUCUGGAGUAGCUGGGACUACAGGAUGGGCUCCUACUGAACUGUCCUGGAAUCUACCACCAUUCAGGUUACAAAAGAC